ACACAUCCCUAUGUCAGAGCAGCACUAACGUAUAAUGACUGAUGUCAUAUAUUUUACAUUCUAACAGUCCAUAUCAUUUUACUGCUUUCAAGAAAAAAUUUCCCCUUCUUGGUGGUUCUUAGAAUUGGUUUAAUGGGAGACUAUUAGAGAAGCUGAAAAGCAGGAGGGCAGAAAAGUUCAAUCAAAUUAAACACAAUAACAGGGAGGUCACAAUGAGGCGGUCUCCAGGGGUCUUUUAGCAAACUUCCUAAAACAUGUCUCAGCUGUGUGAAAAUAGACUUUACAGCAGCCGGGUGCAGUGGUGCAGGCCUAAGGGCACUCUGGGCACUACCUGGGCACUCUCGAGCCCAUCAUCCCCUAGGCAGGCUGCACUGCUUGGUAUUUGCAGAGCUGAGGGGGUGGGGCAUGUGGGGACUGUGAAAUCGCCCUGAGAUGACCCACAGUCCUCAGCUGGGAAGUGAGCGCUGCAUCUCCUGCAGCGUCCUCCAUCCCUAGAGCCAUGGGGCCAGGAGAACCGGCCCUUGCAGCAAGUGAAAAGCCUAUUAUUGAUUCCCUCCCUAGCCAUG
rnacentral:lncRNA from 1 species